GGUUAAGCGACUAAGCGUACACGGUGGAUGCCCUGGCAGUCAGAGGCGAUGAAGGACGUGCUAAUCUGCGAUAAGCGUCGGUAAGGUGAUAUGAACCGUUAUAACCGGCGAUUUCCGAAUGGGGAAACCCAGUGUGUUUCGACACACUAUCAUUAACUGAAUCCAUAGGUUAAUGAGGCGAACCGGGGGAACUGAAACAUCUAAGUACCCCGAGGAAAAGAAAUCAACCGAGAUUCCCCCAGUAGCGGCGAGCGAACGGGGAGCAGCCCAGAGCCUGAAUCAGUGUGUGUGUUAGUGGAAGCGUCUGGAAAGGCGCGCGAUACAGGGUGACAGCCCCGUACACAAAAAUGCACAUGCUGUGAGCUCGAUGAGUAGGGCGGGACACGUGGUAUCCUGUCUGAAUAUGGGGGGACCAUCCUCCAAGGCUAAAUACUCCUGACUGACCGAUAGUGAACCAGUACCGUGAGGGAAAGGCGAAAAGAACCCCGGCGAGGGGAGUGAAAAAGAACCUGAAACCGUGUACGUACAAGCAGUGGGAGCACGCUUAGGCGUGUGACUGCGUACCUUUUGUAUAAUGGGUCAGCGACUUAUAUUCUGUAGCAAGGUUAACCGAAUAGGGGAGCCGAAGGGAAACCGAGUCUUAACUGGGCGUUAAGUUGCAGGGUAUAGACCCGAAACCCGGUGAUCUAGCCAUGGGCAGGUUGAAGGUUGGGUAACACUAACUGGAGGACCGAACCGACUAAUGUUGAAAAAUUAGCGGAUGACUUGUGGCUGGGGGUGAAAGGCCAAUCAAACCGGGAGAUAGCUGGUUCUCCCCGAAAGCUAUUUAGGUAGCGCCUCGUGAAUUCAUCUCCGGGGGUAGAGCACUGUUUCGGCAAGGGGGUCAUCCCGACUUACCAACCCGAUGCAAACUGCGAAUACCGGAGAAUGUUAUCACGGGAGACACACGGCGGGUGCUAACGUCCGUCGUGAAGAGGGAAACAACCCAGACCGCCAGCUAAGGUCCCAAAGUCAUGGUUAAGUGGGAAACGAUGUGGGAAGGCCCAGACAGCCAGGAUGUUGGCUUAGAAGCAGCCAUCAUUUAAAGAAAGCGUAAUAGCUCACUGGUCGAGUCGGCCUGCGCGGAAGAUGUAACGGGGCUAAACCAUGCACCGAAGCUGCGGCAGCGACACUAUGUGUUGUUGGGUAGGGGAGCGUUCUGUAAGCCUGUGAAGGUGUACUGUGAGGUAUGCUGGAGGUAUCAGAAGUGCGAAUGCUGACAUAAGUAACGAUAAAGCGGGUGAAAAGCCCGCUCGCCGGAAGACCAAGGGUUCCUGUCCAACGUUAAUCGGGGCAGGGUGAGUCGACCCCUAAGGCGAGGCCGAAAGGCGUAGUCGAUGGGAAACAGGUUAAUAUUCCUGUACUUGGUGUUACUGCGAAGGGGGGACGGAGAAGGCUAUGUUGGCCGGGCGACGGUUGUCCCGGUUUAAGCGUGUAGGCUGGUUUUCCAGGCAAAUCCGGAAAAUCAAGGCUGAGGCGUGAUGACGAGGCACUACGGUGCUGAAGCAACAAAUGCCCUGCUUCCAGGAAAAGCCUCUAAGCAUCAGGUAACAUCAAAUCGUACCCCAAACCGACACAGGUGGUCAGGUAGAGAAUACCAAGGCGCUUGAGAGAACUCGGGUGAAGGAACUAGGCAAAAUGGUGCCGUAACUUCGGGAGAAGGCACGCUGAUACGUAGGUGAAGUCCCUCGCGGAUGGAGCUGAAAUCAGUCGAAGAUACCAGCUGGCUGCAACUGUUUAUUAAAAACACAGCACUGUGCAAACACGAAAGUGGACGUAUACGGUGUGACGCCUGCCCGGUGCCGGAAGGUUAAUUGAUGGGGUCAGCGCAAGCGAAGCUCUUGAUCGAAGCCCCGGUAAACGGCGGCCGUAACUAUAACGGUCCUAAGGUAGCGAAAUUCCUUGUCGGGUAAGUUCCGACCUGCACGAAUGGCGUAAUGAUGGCCAGGCUGUCUCCACCCGAGACUCAGUGAAAUUGAACUCGCUGUGAAGAUGCAGUGUACCCGCGGCAAGACGGAAAGACCCCGUGAACCUUUACUAUAGCUUGACACUGAACAUUGAGCCUUGAUGUGUAGGAUAGGUGGGAGGCUUUGAAGUGUGGACGCCAGUCUGCAUGGAGCCGACCUUGAAAUACCACCCUUUAAUGUUUGAUGUUCUAACGUGGACCCGUAAUCCGGGUUGCGGACAGUGUCUGGUGGGUAGUUUGACUGGGGCGGUCUCCUCCUAAAGAGUAACGGAGGAGCACGAAGGUUGGCUAAUCCUGGUCGGACAUCAGGAGGUUAGUGCAAUGGCAUAAGCCAGCUUGACUGCGAGCGUGACGGCGCGAGCAGGUGCGAAAGCAGGUCAUAGUGAUCCGGUGGUUCUGAAUGGAAGGGCCAUCGCUCAACGGAUAAAAGGUACUCCGGGGAUAACAGGCUGAUACCGCCCAAGAGUUCAUAUCGACGGCGGUGUUUGGCACCUCGAUGUCGGCUCAUCACAUCCUGGGGCUGAAGUAGGUCCCAAGGGUAUGGCUGUUCGCCAUUUAAAGUGGUACGCGAGCUGGGUUUAGAACGUCGUGAGACAGUUCGGUCCCUAUCUGCCGUGGGCGCUGGAGAACUGAGGGGGGCUGCUCCUAGUACGAGAGGACCGGAGUGGACGCAUCACUGGUGUUCGGGUUGUCAUGCCAAUGGCACUGCCCGGUAGCUAAAUGCGGAAGAGAUAAGUGCUGAAAGCAUCUAAGCACGAAACUUGCCCCGAGAUGAGUUCUCCCUGACUCCUUGAGAGUCCUGAAGGAACGUUGAAGACGACGACGUUGAUAGGCCGGGUGUGUAAGCGCAGCGAUGCGUUGAGCUAACCGGUACUAAUGAACCGUGAGGCUUAACCUU
rnacentral:rRNA from 1 species